CGGGCUCCCUGCUACAUGCUGCUCUGGAGGGCUCAGUCCAGAAGAAGGCGAGCAGCUCUGCUUCCUGCAGGGACUGAUCAGAGUUUAGAGCAAUGCAUACUGUACAGUUAGGACCCUAGGCUCUCAACAUCUCAAGAGGAUAUUGGGAUGAUAUCAGUAUGCCUGGUGAAGCGGUACAAGCCAUGGAUGGGAUUCCUGGACAGUCUGGCAAUCGUGCUUGCGGACCAGAACCUCCUUCAUCCGUCAGAAGUAGAAAGGGCAUGGGAACCUUUGGAGCCAGCCCGACCCAGGUCCAAGGAGCUAUUUAGAGGAACAGUCUAGGAAAUUAGGACUUUAACAGGGAUCGUCUUGUAUAUUGUCUAGAAGAGAUACCGCACCCAGUGGAAAGCAAGGUCAUGCCCAGAUGAGUUAAGUAUUUUCCCAUGCAUCUGAAAGUGAACAGUAGCUGCAAACAACUGUAGGAACAAGUUGCUUAGAGUGACCAAGAUCACCAGUAUAAGCAUAUGUAAUGAAAAGAAUAGAGCACACGCAGACAGUCAAAGGCUCUUUUCCUGCAUCUACAAAUGUACAAAAUAUAAGAAUUGGGAUAACAGGCUUCCACCUCUACUGAGGAGCAAAGUUUCAUAGAUCUGAGGAUAAGUCAACUAAAAGGGGAGAAAAGUAAUGCUGUCCUGCAACUUGUACGGUCAGGAGCUUGGCCUGCGUGUGCAACAGCACUUGCCAGCUAAGCAGAACUGGGCUUGGUCUAUAGCUUGAUGAGUGACUGGCCAAUGUUUGGGUAGGGGACAUUUUUCUUGGAGCUUGUAUGGAACACAUAAAUGCCCAGUGUGACACUACAUCAUGUUGUACAAGUCAUGAAAGUGUGGUUGUGAGGGUACAUAGUUAGUGAAGAUCCUCCUUACAAAAGGAGAUGCUAGCCCCCAGUUCCAAUCCAGGCAAUAAUGUCCUUGCCCCUGCCUGAACCUGCUUCAGCUGGACACAGCUGGGUCUAAUUUUCCACUCAGUUUGCAAUAAAAAAUAAUCACCUUUGCUUUUGUGUAGGGUGAGGGGGAAUUUGUUUUGCUCCUGGUGCCAAACAGCUAGAGCAGCAUGGCUGUAGGUUAAGACACAGCCAGCUUUCCUGUCAAAGGUGGUUGUUUUGCAAGAGGUGAGUGAGUUCUGCCAAAUGAUUUAUGAGUCUUUUGGUGAAAAGAACAAAUGCAAAAGAAUCAUCCUUUUUUGAGGCGAUGUAAAACUAGAGGACUAGGUAAUAGCCACAAAUGAUACAUUUCCCCAUUGGCAUGCUUGUCUAGGAGAGCCCUCAAAUGAUAAAUGUUAAGAUCAAGGAAAGGUGCAUUAAGAACCAUUAAAAGGAUGAACAGAUGGCAGGCAGAAUAGCUAGAAACAGGCACUGCCAGCUAUUGCAGGUUGAGCUGUGCCAGGCAGGAUGCUGACAGGAAAAAGUAGCUAUGAGAAGAAGACGUGGGAUUGCUCAGAGAAGGAGCAGGGCUGCACCAGCACUACAGGAUGGGAAUGUCCCCUCUCCUUUUCAUUUCCAUUCUUAAAUGCAGGAGAUCCUUAGUGGCUACAUCAAGCCUGUCUGGUCCAAACCUAUUUCAGAGGAGAGGUUUGCAUGGCUCCCAGUCUUCUACCCCUUUCUUAGAAGGAGACGAACUGUUUUGAUGAAUCUGACGCUGAAGCUGUGGAGUAAGGCUGGUGUGGAAGCAGAAAACACAGAAUAUUGUAUGCAUCUGGGAGAGAAGAGACAGUGCCUGGGGAGGAUGCCAGUGGCAAAAGCCACAGAAGCAAUUUAACAAAUGCAAAACACCGAGCAGAGCACUCAGAAAUCACCUCCAAAACUGUUUAGCUUUUAAUGACUGAGUGAGCCACAGAAAUGAACCGAGCAAAAAAAGAAAAACAAACAAG